rnacentral:tRNA from 1 species
CUGCCUCUCCGCGCCGAAGACGGACAUGGAGAGC